AGAGUUUGAUCAUGGCUCAGAGCGAACGCUGGCGGCGUGCUUAACACAUGCAAGUCGAACGAGGUGUAGCAAUACACUUCGUGGCGAACGGGUGCGUAACACGUGGAUAACCUUCCUUGAGGUGGGGAAUAACCCAGUGAAAAUUGGGAUAAUACCGCAUAACAUGACGAUGCCACAUGGUGUUGUCUUCAAAGGCGCAAGUCGCCACAAGAGGGAUCCGCGGCCGAUUAGCUAGUUGGUGAGGUAAUGGCUCACCAAGGCAAUGAUCGGUAGCCGGACUGAGAGGUUGACCGGCCACACUGGAACUGAGACACGGUCCAGACUCCUACGGGAGGCAGCAGUGGGGAAUCUUGCACAAUGGGCGAAAGCCUGAUGCAGCAACGCCGCGUGGGGGAUGAAGCUUCUCGGAGUGUAAACCCCUUUCGACCCGGACGAAUGCCCGCAAGGGUUUGACGGUACGGGUAUAAGAAGCCCCGGCUAACUACGUGCCAGCAGCCGCGGUAAGACGUAGGGGGCCAGCGUUGCUCGGAAUUACUGGGCGUAAAGGGUCCGUAGGCGGUGCGGUAAGUUGGGAGUGAAAUCUCUGGGCUUAACUCAGAGGCUGCUUCCAAUACUACCGUGCUCGAGUGCGAGAGAGGCAAGUGGAAUUGCGGGUGUAGCGGUGAAAUGCGUAGAUAUCCGCAGGAACAUCCGAGGCGAAAGCGGCUUGCUGGAUCGCAACUGACGCUGAGGGACGAAAGCUAGGGGAGCAAACAGGAUUAGAUACCCUGGUAGUCCUAGCCCUAAACCAUCAGGACUUGGGGUUUGCCCUGUACGGGGCAAGUCCCGUAGCUAACGCGUUAAGUCCUGCGCCUGGGGAGUACGGUCGCA
rnacentral:rRNA from 1 species